UUAUAAUCUCGCCGUUCUGGUGCCCGCGCAUGCGCUCCGCAUGUGCAGUUAAACGGGAAACACGAGGCAAAGGCGCUGCGCGCCCACGCCGAGGUGUGCUGCCCCCGCAACGGUCAACAAGCACCGCUUCGCAUACGCGAAGCGGUAGGCUGCUCCAAACACCACUGUGCCGACAGGCAUAGGAAGGUGGCGCAGUCCGUCUUGCGAGCCCGGAUACCGGCCAGACAGGUGGAAGCGAC
rnacentral:ncRNA from 2 species